UUGGAGGGCAAGUCUGGUGCCAGCAGCCGCGGUAAUUCCAGCUCCAAUAGCGUAUAUUAAAGUUGUUGCAGUUAAAAAGCUCGUAGUUGAAUUUCGGGAUCAGAUUGUCGGUCGUGCCUCGGUACGCACUGGUAUUAUUGGUUCCUACCUUCUGAAGAACCGUGAUGUCAUUAAUUUGGUGUCGUGGGGAAUCAGGACUGUUACUUUGAAAAAAUUAGAGUGUUUAAAGCAGGCUUACGCUUGAAUACAUUAGCAUGGAAUAAUGAAAUAGGACGUUUGAUUCUAUUUUGUUGGUUUCUAGGAUUGACGUAAUGAUUAAUAGGGAUAGUUGGGGGCAUUAGUAUUCAAUUGUCAGAGGUGAAAUUCUAGGAUUUAUUGAAGACUAACUACUGCGAAAGCAUUUGCCAAGGAUGUUUUCAUUAAUCAAGAACGAAAGUUGGGGGAUCGAAGACGAUCAGAUACCGUCGUAGUCUUAACCAUAAACUACGCCGACUAGGGAUCGGAUGAUGUUAAUUUUUAAUGACUCAUUCGGCGCCUUACGGGAAACCAAAGUGUUUGGGUUC
rnacentral:rRNA from 1 species